GAUGAACGCUGGCGGCGUGCCUAAUACAUGCAAGUCGAGCGAACAGACGAGGAGCUUGCUCCUCUGACGUUAGCGGCGGACGGGUGAGUAACACGUGGAUAACCUACCUAUAAGACUGGGAUAACUUCGGGAAACCGGAGCUAAUACCGGAUAAUAUAUUGAACCGCAUGGUUCAAUAGUGAAAGACGGUUUUGCUGUCACUUAUAGAUGGAUCCGCGCCGCAUUAGCUAGUUGGUAAGGUAGCGGCUUACCAAGGCAACGAUGCUUAGCCGACCCCAGCGGGAGAACGGACAGACUGUAACUGAGACACAGCCCAGACUCUGACGGGAGGAAGCAGUAGGGAAUCUUCCGCAAUGGGCGAGAGCCUGACGGAGCACCGCCGCGGGAGUCAUGAAGGUCUUCGGCUCGGAAAACUCUGUUAGUAGGGAAGAAGAAAAGUGUAAGUAACUAUGCACGUCUUGACGGUACCGAAUGAGAAAGCCACGGCUAACUACGUG
rnacentral:rRNA from 1 species